GAGGAAAAUGCAUUAUAGAUUCCAACUCAAUAAACAGAUUAGGCUCUAGCUAUUAAAUUGAUCAAAUUGCUCCUCUUACUUUAUAUAGCUACAAUUAGAACCAGCAUUCUACUGUACAUCAGUUACCUUCAUUUCAUAUGACAAACGCAGGUUUCUAUAACAUGCAGACAGCAAUCUCUUUGUACAUUCCUUCUCUCCAAGCCUCUAGAUCCCUGUGGUGUGAUACAAUCUAUUUAAAAGCCAAUUAAGACUAUUCAUGUAUGCCUGUUAUAUACCUCACACAUAUGCACUUGGAAGAAAUAACUUUACUUUAAAUAUGAUGAAAUUCUCUGAGGAUAUAAGUGAAAAUUCAUUAGUGUAGGGAAUAUCUCAGAACCAUAGUGGAGAAUAGUUGGAUGAAAUGCCUAUAGCCUUACACUAGGCCUUACAACUUGCCCAGCAUUAGUUAAUCUCUAGUGCUCCCCAAAUAGUUUGCAGGGUGAUUGCCCUAUAUCUUUGACUCUCUGGUUCACAACUAGGCUUUACAUUUAUAGAUAAACUAUAUGGCAUAGAUGAUGCAGUAAUGUUCCUUUUGCUACCCAUCACCUAUUUUCAACAUUCUGCCGCAAUUCUAAGGAAUGCGGCAAUAUUCUCUGUCUGGGUAUCUGAAUAAAUUACACACCUUCCUUUUAUCUCAUAAUAUAUGCACAUUGAAAAUGAGCUCCAAAAACUAUGUGUGCGUAAUGGGCUGCAAUCAAUACCUAUAAUGCAACCUAUAAGUCUGCAUGUUUUUUUAUAAUUGAAAAAUGGCAGAAUGCCCAUGCUGUGAGCCCUAACAACUCACAAAAAAAAUUAAUCAAACAAACAAGCAAAUUGUACGGAACAAUAGGUGGUCCAGAACAAAAAUGAAAAGGCAGUCUUUAAAAGAGUCUUAAUUUCAUUCACUUUGGUCUGUACACGACAGACAUUGUACUGAUUGUCUAAGUCACCAUAUCUUCAGUUGCAUCUACACUGGAUGUGCUUCAGAUUUAUAAUAGGGAUUAUUUUGACUUUUCAGAUAGUUAACUUGGUUGAAGAGAUUGGCUGACCAAAAAUAAAGGAUGACCGUUUCUAAAAAAGAAUAAACAUAUCAAAGAAGGAUGCAAUGAUAACUGAUUUCCUCUUUGUAGAUAUAUGUCAAAUGUGCAAUAAAAAUCAUAUUGCUUGAUGUGACUGACACCGGCAAUGUAACGGUCCCUAAUCUCAGGUAAAUACCAAAACCUACAUAUCUCGGCCUGCCCCAGAUUGCUUCCACCAUUAAUUCAAGCCCUCUCCUGUGAUAUAAAUGGAUGAAUGAAGGUGUGAGAGACAAUCAUAUUAUCUGUCCAUCCUCCUUUCUACAUGUCAUAACUGCAAAUAGACUGAAUUAAAGGAAUACUAAGGCAUUAGGAAUACAAACAUGUAUCCCUAAAGUUAUAGUGUUCCUCUACCUAUAUAGGUCCACCUUCCCCCCCAUUAGAAUUCUACUUACCUUUCUUCCCUUGAUGGACUGGUUUUGGCAAGGCUGCUUCACCUUCCUGAUUGAGAGCAUCAAUAUUGAUGAUCUCAGCCAAUCCAGUGCUUCCCCAUAGGCAAGCGUUUGGAGGCUUGUGCACAUGCACAGGAAAUUUCCAUGCUGCAACAUUUAAAUGUUUCUAUACGAGUAGCAUUUGAUUGAAGAAGUGAGUCUGACUUGGUUCUCACAGGGAAGCCCCUCUAGAGGCAGUCAGGAAGAUAAUCACUAUUAGUGUGUUUCAUCCUGCAAUUAAAGUUUCUACAAUUGCAGGGUUAAACCUAAAGGGCCACAUCGAUAAAGUGGUCUGGGUAUCUUUGGUGACUCUUUAAGGACAGCAACUGCAAAUAAUAGAUUUUGCCCAAGAGCAUAAUUCUCACCAAUUUUGAACAGGCUCAGUUAUGUAUGUUAUAGGGACAGUCCAGACCCAUAAAGUACUUUAUUUAAAAAAUACAUACAUAUCAGUCAUAUUAAAUAUUAAUCAUAUUUCCAACACACCACAUAGGAGUUCGAAGGUGUUAUCCAUGAAGACAUUGAUGAAUCUUACCAUAAAUAAAUAUCUCAUCCAAUAAUGCACUUUAUAGUCUAGACAAACCAGUUGUAAAAUUGAUUAACUCUUCCAAAAUAAGCUAAGGUAUGUUGAUCAUUCUUUGGGACUGUGUGUUGUAAUAACUUGUAAGGCAUUACAUUUAAUAAUUGAAAUGCAAUUGUACUAGCUUUUUAAAACAUGCAAAGCAGUCAAUCAUAUUUUGGACCCCAUUGAUAAUCUAUAUAUUGGAUUCAUUAUUUAGAAAUGCCAUUUUCUUUAUUUGAAAAUCUAGUCACUUCUUUGUCAAAUGGUAAAUCUGCUGUUGUACAUUGCUAUGAAGAAUCAUUUCAUAUUAUUAACCUCCCAGUAUGAUUGAUUUACUAAUUGUUUGUGCAGUUUAGUAAUAUUUUCUAUUAUUUUUAAUUUCAUCUGGCUGUAUUUCUUUUUUCUUGCUAAACAUAAAACAGAACUGCGCAUAUAGAAAUCUGUUACAAUCAAAUAACGCAGCAGUUAUAGUCCAGAGUACUUAUCUGUUAAUCUGUUGUAUCUAUUUAGAGCAAAGUUUAUAAUCAAAUAAACAUAAUUAACAAAUAGAAUAUGUAUUAAAAAUCACAGAGUGUAAAUUAAAAAUACAUUUUCAAAUCUCAUAAAAAUAACUAUUACUUUAAUAGUAUUAAAAGAUGGCUUUGGUUAAGGGAGCAGCCAUUUUAGAUCGGGUGGUUCCAUCUUUGAUUUUAUUGUUUACUAAAUGAUAUUUGUUAAAAAUUCAAUGAAGAUGGCAAUAAAUUGCAACAUUUUACUGUACUACAACACGAGAAAAAGAAAUAUUACAUUUAAAAAGGAAUUCCUUCUCUACAGUUUUAAUAUGGAUUUACAACUUAAAGAUGGCGAAUGAGGAUAUUUAAUGAAUCAAUCAAGGCACUGGAACAAUGGAGUAAAAUUACAGAACAUCUUGUGAUACAGACUCAAAUGAAAGCAAAGGAAUUUUACUCCCGAGGACAGACUUACAUGCUACUGUGUAUCAUGCUAACUUUGUUAUUUAAAUGUUUCUUUCAUUUUUUUUGUAAAAAAAAACAAAACAUGUAAAACCUGUUUAUGAUGCU